rnacentral:tRNA from 2 species
UCCUCUGUAGUUCAGUCGGUAGAACGGCGGACUGUUAAUCCGUAUGUCACCGGUUCGAGUCCAGUCAGAGGAGCCA